AUAUAGUUGGAAGCACAGUCCAAGAGAUAGUCGCCCGUUUCACGACAAGUAUGGAGGGAGAGUUGAAAUUCCCUACGCACUCUUCGCACCUCCCUUUUUUCAGCAAGGACUUCCACGUUCAUUCAACUAUGGUGGCAUCGGUACUACAAUUGCUCACGAGCUGGGGCACAGCUUGACCUACUCAGGAACUUGACGAGAAUUACAACGAAAGUACGAGUGCUGAAGC
rnacentral:lncRNA from 1 species